AUGUUGCUAUCAAAUAUAUGUCAAAAUCAGUAUUACAAAGACAUUUGUGUGUCCAAUGAUCAUCCACGGGGCAUGAGAGAGCAGCUAAGCCCUAAAACUGUCCCCUGUAACCGGAGCCUGCUGUUAAACGUGACGGCACAAAUGAGCCGACAGAUGUCAAGAACCUGGAGAACUUCCACCUGGUGGAGAGCGUCCAGGAACAGGUCAACGCGGCACUGCUGGACUACGUCAUGUGCAACUAUCCUCAGCAGACGGACAAGUUUGGCCAGCUGCUGCUGCGGCUGCCGGAGAUCCGUGCCAUCAGCCUGCAGGCCGAGGAGUAUCUGUACUACAAACACCUGAACGGUGACGUGCCCUGUAACAAUCUUCUAAUAGAGAUGCUGCACGCCAAACGUGCCUGAGGACCGGCGGCGAGCCUUUCGUCUCGACACAUCGCACACACUGCUCCCAGCACCACCUCAGUCCAGCGUCAUCACCAGACAUAGCCUUCGACCGAUGCGCACUCACUGCAUGGGUUUGGGCCGGACACUUUGGAUCUGAGAACCCCAUAGCGAGGGUUUGGCGAAGGAAAGAUGCAUUUCUGGUAAAGAAAUGAAUGAAUCCAGAGUUAUAAUGACCUCUAGGCUGCGGAUUUGUCGUAGUAUUGUCGAACCAUGACUGUCAGUCAUUAUUUGUUGUGUGUGCAGCUGAUUGAAUCGUCCACCUUACACUCAGACUUGAGGUGGCGUGUUUAAGAUGACUGGGAAAGGACUGGGCGCUCUUUCAAGACUGGUUUGCCAGCAUUGACCCAAAGUUUCCAUUAAGACCUGGCCAUGUGGCCUUCCUCUGUCUGUUUUAAGGCACACAAGCUGGGCCGGAGCCAGUAGGCGGAGGUAAGAUGGACAACCAGCCAUUGCCCGCAUCUGCCCCAACUAAGACUUUAUUCCAACCCCUCAACCAAAAAAAAAAAAAAAUAAGUCUGUCACUAUGAGGCUGCUUUUACCAGUAUUUUCUCAUCAAGAGUGGAAAAGGAUGAAUAUCACAAAAUCUGUCAAGAACACAUCUGGGUCAUAUUUAAUCUCAAAAUCAUAAGAAAGAAAUGAGAAAUUAUUAUUGUUUGGUCCAAUAGCACGGACAAAACGAAUAAACUAUACUGAAUACUGAAUAAAAAGUAAUUUUGUAGGUAAAUGUGCUAAACGCUGUCAUGAAAAUAAGAAAGAAUAAUUAUUAGCAAUUUUAUUAUUAAUUUAUUAAAAAAAUUCAGACUGAAAAAAAUUAUUUUGGAGUUAAAUGUGCUAAAUUGUCAUGAAAAUAAAUAAAAAUAUAACAAUUUACAACAAAACAGAAUUUUGGGAUUAAAAUUCUAAAUUGUUAUAAAAGUAACAAUUAAUAUUCAUUAACAAUUUUAUAAUUAAUUUUAUUGAAAUAAUUCAUAUAAAAAAUAAUUUUUGAGGUAAAUGUGCUAAAUUGCCCAGACAUAAACAUUUAAUAGAUAAUUCAUAAUAAACUAAAUUUUGGGAGUUAAAAUGCCUAAUUGUCAUGGAAAUAGGAAUUAAUAAUUAUUAACAAUUACCAAAUGAACGCAACUAUAAAACCCUAAUAAAAAUAAUUUCUUAUUUUUUGAUUUGCGGGAUGCAUUGUGACCUGGAAAUGUAUUUACUAAGAUUCGCCUUCAAAAACUUUUUUCUAUUUAUUAAUGUAGAUUUUUCAGCUCGAUUGGAACAUUUUGCAGUUUGUUCAUUAACAAAUGUGAAUACGAAUAUAGCGGAGUCUCAAAGCCAAUAUGAAGAAAUACCGUCUACGUCAACACGAGACCAAAGCCUGCAGAGAACAAAAAAAGAAAGAGAGAGAGAGAGAGAAGAAAAAAAAACAACCUUAACUAUCAGUAUUAAUAAUUUGUGAUGUCACAGUCAUGUGAGUCUUGCCUUAUUUCAUUUCCAUGCUAGCUAACCGUGCUGAUGUGAAUUACGAUAUGUAAAAUAAAAAGUACAUAUAUAUAACGUAUUAAUGUUAUACAAUUGAAAAGAAAUGAGGUGUUUACAUUCAUGUGGUCAUGUGGGAGAUAACUGUGAUGCGUUCAAUUGCAAAGCAAUGAUUUCAUAUAAAAACGAAACAUAAUGUUCAGAAAAGAUGUUCCUCUUGUUUGCUUUCUUAGGUGUGUACAGUUUUCAUCUUUCUUAACCAGUACUUAAUUAUGUCGUGAGACACUAAAUCAGAGAGGAAUCUCACUUAAUUCUGAGUUUUUUUUUAAUUGUGCUGGCUUAUUUCUGUGGGUAUCUGUUUUUACGUUCUACGUUUGAAAUGUACGUCACUGGUUAAGCUUAAUUUAUUGUUCUGGUUUCAUCCAUGUGUUCCUGCACAGUGGGGUGGGGUCAUGAUUAAAUGUAUUUGUUUACUGUAGCACGUUUUUAAAAAUGUAGAUACGAGAUGCAGUUAUGGAGCUAAAUGGUGAUUGAGUGAUUCACAUCAAAUAACCAUCAGUCCUGCCACUGUAAAAUAUCAAGAGCUGUACUGAAGUGAUCCGGUGUGACUGACUGGUGUUUUCAUGUGUUCUAUACCAAAGACAGCGUCUGUCCUUCACUUGUACUUACCUGUUUGCUUCACAAUGAACGGAUGAGAGCUUUGAUAAUUGGGGACUGCCGUUGUUUUCCUGAACACUUCAUUUGACUAUAUUUUAUAAAAUUGGUGUUCACAUCAACAUGAACUCAAAAUUGAUCCAAUUUACUUCCAUAUCUAUCAGUUGGUGUCACCUAGGGCAGAAAAUAGCCAAUAUUAUUCAAUUACAAAGAAAAGAAAACAAAGCAAACAAAACAAAAGCAAAGAGAAGCAAAACUAAAUUAAAGCAGAUGAAAGGAAAACAGAGAACAAAAAGCCAAAACAAAACAUAAAGCAAACUGAAGCAAAACAAAAGCAGAGAAAAGGAAAGCAGAACAAAGAAAAACAAAACAAAAGCAAAAGGGAAGGAAUACAAAACCAAGCAAAACAAAAGCAGUACAUUUAAAGCAGUAAAUUAAUCAAAACUUAAGAUUAAUAUUAUAAACGGUACUGUUAUAAAUUGCAAAUGAUAAGUUUUUUUUUUUAAGAAUCCUUACCAUUUGCAGACAUUAAGAUGCUCUUUUGACGACAAACUUGGCCUUCAGCCUUCAUUUUCCUAUGAGGAAUCUCAAAAGUAUGUGCUUGUGUUUCAGAAGAGUAAUUUCCCCUAAUCUAUUGCAAACUCACAUUCAGCUCUAUUUUGACAUGUAACGGCCACUAUUCAUUACCGAAAGUAUUGCCACAAUUUUUCAGAUGAAAUUACCUGCUUUAUGUGGAAAUAUGUCAAAAUACGGAAGUAAAUUGGGUCGCAAAUGUCAUUUCAUGUUGACUGUAAAAGGUCAAAAAUGAUCAUCCACGCAGUAAAAAAAAUGUUAAGGUGACUGUUGUAUCACACCUGAAAUGAAACGUGUUGAUUUAAAAAGCAGUGAAAAUGGCCAGCAUGGUGACUUAUCCCAAUCAUCAGAUGAUUUUUUUUAAACAAACAUGAUGUUACACACCUUAUCAAUGUAAAUGAUUUCAGACAAUGAUGCUGUAGAAAGUAUUUUGUACGAGCACAACUGCUUUAAUCAACAUUUGCUGCAUGGCAUCUACACCCCCAUUUGUACAUAAGGACACUUCUUUAUGGAUUCUAGGGAAAUUGGUUUGUAUUUGCCUCGUUUUGUGAAUCUACUGUGUUGUGUGUUGAUCAGACUGACAAUCUUAAGAAAUCCGCUUCCCCCUCGUUCCCAUUUUGUUCCCCACCACCGGAAGUCCUGCAGCUGCUUUGGAUGUCUGCUUACCUGCCUGAAUGUUUGGAUUGGGAUUCUCUCGUUUGUAGGCUGGAAGCCACAGUCAGACCCGCAUCUCGGAUGUCACCUCUUGCCAUAAAGAGUUUCCAUACAAGCUCUUGAAAUCUUUCCAUCAUAUUUUAAUAAAUGACUUAUGCCAUAAGUUGUUGCUUUAUUUCUAUUUCUGGCAUCGAUGAUCAUUGAACAAGUUUCACCCUACUAAUCAUACAAACAUGAAUACUUGAUUCAAAUUCAAGAAUUGGAAAACGGCUUCAGAUUUCAAGAACACGUGCCUGAUCCGGUUACACUCGCAAAUAUAGUGUGAACACAAACUAAAAAGUAUUAAACUGCCUAUUAUUUACAGCAAAGAUUAAUUAUAGCUUAUUCAAGAUGAAACCUGUACAAAAUAGAGUAAAUCUUCAAUAAAACAUUCAAAGUAGUAAGACUGUUUGUCACAAAUGAACAAAUUGUAGUUUACGUCAAGAUAAAUUACCAAAUAUGUAGAAACAUUAAAGGGAUAGUUCACCCUGUCAUCAUUUACUCACCCUCAGGUUGAAACCAAAAAUAUUUUGAAGAGUGUUGGUAAAAAGACAGUUGAUGGUAGCCAUUGACUUCCAUAGCAUUUUUGUUCAUACUAUGGAAGUCGAUGGCUACCGUCAACUGUCUGGUUACCAACACUCUUCAAAUGAUCUUAUUUUGUGCUCAACAGAAGAAAGAAACUCAAACGGGCUAAUGGAAGCAAAACAAAAAGCAAAGCAAAAGCAAAUUGAAGCAAAACAAAAUAAAAUGGAGCAAAACAAAAAAGUAGAACAAAAUAAAACAAAAGCAGAGGAACAGAAAGGAAAACAAACAAAACAAAAGCAAAGAGAAGCAGAACUAAAUAAAAGCAGAAAAAGUUGAGGGUGAAUAAAUGAUGACAGAACUAACAUUUUUGGGUGAACUUUCACUUUAAGGAUAUCAUUUACACACUAUCUGCACUUUACCAAAACACAAGACGUGAGGAAUUGUUUCAGUGAAGACACAAGUCGCUGUUCUGCCGAGGAGGUGAAUAUUGGGAUGUCAGUUCGGCCUCCAAGGGUACAUUCAGACUGCAUUCGUUUGGAAGUCUGUCUUUAAGUUUUCUCAAGUUCUCCUGUAAGAAUGAGAGAAAUAAGAAAAAAUAAGAAUUAAUACAGAGAAAACAACACAUUCUAGCAUACUCUUCACCUUUAAAAAUUGCAGAUUAGCAUACUUUUAUGUUAUACUUUACACAAAAAUAAUAUUCUUUAAAAUAAU
rnacentral:lncRNA from 1 species